rnacentral:rRNA from 1 species
UACGUAGGGGGCAAGCGUUGUCCGGAUUUAUUGGGCGUAAAGAGCGUGUAGGCGGCUUUACAGGUCCGUUGUGAAAACUCGAGGCUCAACCUCGAGACGCCGGUGGAAACCGUAAGGCUAGAGUCCGGAAGGGGAGAAUGGAAUUCCUGGUGUAGCGGUGAAAUGCGCAGAUAUCAGGAAGAACACCCGUGGCGAAGGCGGUUCUCUGGGACGGUACUGACGCUGAGACGCGAAAGCGUGGGGAGCGAACAGG